rfam:Enterococcus sp. 2G9_DIV0600 scaffold00003, whole genome shotgun sequence.
GAACGCCGUAUGCGGUGAAAGUCGCACGUACGGUGUGGAGCGGGGGAAAAUCUGGAGAUUGCAUCAAAGGAUUACCUAUCGCUAU